UACGGAGAGUGCGAGCGUUGUUCGGAUUUACUGGGCGUAAAGCGCGUGUAGGCGGCCUUGCAAGUCGGAUGUGAAAGCCCACGGCUCAACCGUGGAAGUGCAUCCGAAACUGCAUAGCUUGAGUCUCGGAGAGGAAGGUGGAAUGCUUGGUGUAGAGGUGAAAUUCGUAGAUAUCAAGCAGAACACCUGCGGCGAAGGCGGCCUUCUGGACGAUGACUGACGCUGAGACGCGAAAGCGUGGGGAGCAAACAGG
rnacentral:rRNA from 1 species